AUGACCUGGGCUCUUCUCCUGCUCAGCCUCCUCAGUCAGGGCCCAGGAAUCAGGGCCCAGAAUAUCCUGACUCAGCCUCCCUCAGUGUCUGGGACUCAGGGACAGACAGUCACCAUCUCCUGUACAGGAACCAGCAAUGACAUUGGGAGAUAUGACUAUGUCUCCUGGUACCAGCAGCAGGACAGCACAACCCCCAAAAUACUAAUUUAUGGUGUGAAAAAUCGGCCAUCCGGGAUCCCUGAUCGCUUUUCUGGCUCCAAGUCUGGCAACACAGCGACCCUGACCAUCUCUGGGCUCAAGCCUGAGGAUGAGACUGAUUAUUACUGUAUGUCACAUACAGGUAGUACUUUCCACACCAAGAUAAAGAAAUUUAUAAGGAAUACACAGAAGGUUGCAGCCUUCUUAUCAUAG